GGCUCUGUAGCUCAGCGGUUAGAGCAGGGGAUUCAUAAGCCCAAGGUCGUAGGUUCAAAUCCCACCAGAGCCA
rnacentral:tRNA from 1 species